rnacentral:rRNA from 1 species
GUAGGCAGCGAGCGUUGUUCGGAGUUACUGGGCGUAAAGGGUGUGUAGGCGGUUGUUUAAGUUUGGUGUGAAAUCUCCCGGCUCAACUGGGAGGGUGCGCCGAAUACUGAAUGACUUGGAGUGCGGGAGAGGAAAGUGGAAUUCCUGGUGUAGCGGUGAAAUGCGUAGAUAUCAGGAGGAACACCGGUGGUGUAGACGGCUUUCUGGACCGUAACUGACGCUGAGACACGAAAGCGUGGGUAGCAAACAGGAUUAGAUACCCUGGUAGUCCACGCCCUAAACGAUGCAUAUUUGGUGUGGGCAGUUCAUUCUGUCCGUGCCGGAGSUAACGCGUUAAAUAUGCCGCCUGGGGAGUACAGU